UACGGAGGGGGCAAGCGUUGUCCGGAUUUAUUGGGCGUAAAGAGCGUGUAGGCGGCCAGACAGGUCUGCUGUGAAAACUCGAGGCUCAACCUCGAGACGCCGGUGGAAACCGUCUGGCUAGAGUCCGGAAGAGGAGAGUGGAAUUCCUGGUGUAGCGGUGAAAUGCGCAGAUAUCAGGAAGAACACCCGUGGCUAAGGCGGCUCUCUAGUACGGUACUGACGCUGAGACGCGAAAGCGUGGGGAGCAAACAGG
rnacentral:rRNA from 1 species